GACGAACGCUGGCGGUGUGCUUAACACAUGCAAGUCGAACGGUAAGGCCCUUUAGGGGGUACACGAGUGGCGAACGGGUGAGUAACACGGGAGUAACCUGCCCCCAUCUCUGGGAUAACAGUCGGAAACGGUUGCUAAUACUGGCUAAGAGCUUGCAAGGCAUCUUGUGGGUUGGAAAGAUCUUUUUGGUUGGGGAUGGACUCGCGGCGUAUCAGCGUGUUGGUGCGGAAGUGGCUCACCAAGGGUUCGACGGGGAGACGGCCUGAGAGGGCGACCGGCGACAUUGGGACUGAGACACGGCCCAGACGCCGUCGGGAGGCAGCAGUGGUGAAUGUUGGACAGAGGCCGGAAGUCAGAGUCAAGGACGCCGCGUGCGGGAUGAGUGCCCUCGUGUUGUGAGCCGCUUUCGAGUGUGACGAAGCUUUUUUUGACGGUAGCAGAAGAAGAAGCACCGGCUAACUACGUG
rnacentral:rRNA from 1 species